UGUGGAAUAUUGGACAAUGGGCGAAAGCCUGAUCCAGCAAUGCCGCGUGUGUGAAGAAGGCCUUAGGGUUGUAAAACACUUUCAGCAGAGAAGAAGUAUUAAUUGCUAAUAUCAAUUGAUAUUGACGUUAUUUGCAGAAGAAGUACUGGCUAACUCUGUGCCAGCAGCCGCGGUAAUACAGAGAGUGCGAGCGUUAAUCGGAAUUAUUGGGCGUAAAGGGUGUGUAGGUGGGUAAAAAAGUUAAAUGUGA
rnacentral:rRNA from 1 species